AUUGGACCAAUGAUUGCUUUCAAAUAUUGCUAUAAGGGGUUAGGAAUCGAGAGCUUUGGAGACUUUACUUGAUGGUAUAAAGUUAUUAUUCGAGACUUGAGAAUAUUGUUCUAAACCAAAAAUGCAGUUCAACAUUUCGACGUUGUUGUUGUUGACAUGCUACAUGGCCAAUGUUAUUGUAUCGACGGUGUGCACCCAUUACCUUCCUUU